UACAGAGGUCCCCGAGCGUUUGUUUCGGGAUUCACUGGGGCGUAAAGCGCGUGUAGGCGGUCCGGUAAGUCCGCUGUGAAAGUCGGGGGGCUCAACCCUCGAAUGCCGGGUGGAUACUGUCGGGGCUAGAGUACGGGAAGAGGCGAGUGGAAUUCCUGGUGUAGCGGUGAAAUGCGCAGAUAUCAGGAGGAACACCAAUUGCGAAGGCGCUCGCUGGGGACGUUACUGACGCUGAGACGCGAAAGCGUGGGGGAGCAAACAGG
rnacentral:rRNA from 1 species